rfam:Triticum aestivum genome assembly, contig: Triticum_aestivum_CS42_TGACv1_scaffold_146260_2BS
CUUGUACUCCCUCCGUCCAAAAAUACUUGCCAUUGAAAUGGAUGUAUCUAGAUGUAUUUUAGUUCUAGACACAUCCAUUUUGAUGACAAGUAAUUCCGGACGGAGGGAGUACUUG